rnacentral:rRNA from 1 species
CAGCCCCGCGGGAAUACGGAGGGUGCAAGCGUUAUCCGGAUUCACUGGGUUUAAAGGGUGCGUAGGCGGAUCUGUAAGUCAGUGGUGAAAUCUCCAGGCUUAACCUGGAAACUGCCGUUGAUACUAUAGGUCUUGAAUUUUGUGGAGGUUAGCGGAAUAUGUCAUGUAGCGGUGAAAUGCAUAGAUAUGACAUAGAACACCAAUUGCGAAGGCAGCUGGCUACACAACUAUUGACGCUGAGGCACGAAAGCGUGGGGAUCAAACAGGAUUAGAUACCCCCGUAGUCCCUGUCUCUUAUACA